rnacentral:lncRNA from 1 species
CUUUCUCCCACACCAGAGAACUGACCCUCAAAAGAAAUCCUGUAAAGCCAAGGAAACUGCCGGCUUCCAGCCCUGCAGUUUUAUUUAAUUAGGGUAGAAACCUGCAGAAAGACUUCCCGAAUAGGAAAACCCACCAGAGCUGCAGUUUUCAGACUGGGUGGCAAAAUCAGUGGGACAAGGAGCAUUAGGAAAGGAAGAAGAAAGGAAAGAAGGAAGAAGCUGGAACAAAAGAGAAUGCAACGAUACCACCUAGGAGAAUCGGGAUUCUUUCCUGAAACUCGAAUCAUAAAAAGAAUACGGUGUGUUGUACAUUUGGAAUCGAGGUGUUGAAUACACGUCUUACUCGGGUUGCUGUCAAAAAAUGUUUGAAAGCCACUGGCCUGGACUUUUUCUUUUUCUUUCUUUUGAAUGCUUAGAGUAGAAAGGUUUGAAAAGCCAUCUAAUUUAUUUCUCUACGCCUAGACAGUAUUUCAUUUUAAGAACAGUACAGACUUUAAUUAUUUUCUUGCUUAUCGUCCCAUCUCAGCAUUUGCGCCUGAUGAUUUGUGAAUAAUUUGUCUCUUUAAAGCUAUUAUUUCAGUUGGGAAAGCGAUAAAUUAAAAUAGGAAGGCAAUUCUGCCAAGCUUCCCUUCUCUGUCUCCUCUUCUCCCCGUCAUCAGGCCGUGGACACAUUCCAAAUGCGCUGCGGGCCAAGCCUGGCAGGGUCCCCGAGCCCGCCUUCUGUCGCCCUGUCCUGUAAUCAAAUACCCCAGUGGAGCUACGGGUGGUUGUUUUGUAUUGAGGAUUGAACCCAGGGCCUUUGCACUGAAUUACUUACACCCUCAGCCCUUUUUAGUUUUCAUUUUGAGACAGGGUCUUGCCAAAUUGCCUGGCUGGGACUCCAACUUGCAGUCUUUCUGCCUCAGCCUCCCAGAGUGCAGAGCAUACAGGCUUAUACCACCACACCUUUUGUUUGUUUGUUCUUUGGUAUUAGGGAAUUGAACUCAGGACCUUGCACUUGCGAAGCAGGGCAGUACCACUGAGCUAAGUCCCCUAAGUCCCCGGCUUAAUGUUCCUUUUUUGAGUUCAAGUUCCACUAUGAAGUUCAACUUGGCCUUGAACUUGCUAUUGUACCUAGGCUGUCCUUGAACUCUCUAUCCUCCUGCUUCAGCCUCCCAAGGCAUAGGAAUACAGGUAUAUACCACCACCUCUGGCAAAUUUUAGUAUUUCUUUAUCUCAUUCCCUCUUUUUACUUAUUUUUUAAAAAAUUAUCCCCAUGGAUAGGUAAUAGAAACACCUGAUGUACUUGAAUUUGACUUUGUCCCUUCUCAGUAGGGUAGGUCCCUGUUGUGCUAAUCAGGG